AGGUCAUGUUGCCAAUUCUCCUUUUUGAAGGGAACAUCAGACAAGUUUUUUAAUAUCUGAUUUUUAGAAAAUUGUUGUGAGGAAGCAGCUUGUGGGGCACACAGAAAUGCGAGGCGGAUGAUAGGAUUCUCAGUGAUACAAAUUGUAAAAUUCCAAUUUUGCUGAUUCUUCAAUUUUACUGAAGACAUUCAAAUUCAAUUUCAUUCAUUUUUAUUUAAAUUUAAUUUUCGUGCAUUUGUGGUAGGAAUUCCAUAUGAAAACCAAAUUUAGUUGAUCAGGCGCACAGAAAAAAGAGCGCAGUACAUAUUUAUAAAUGCUGACACUUCGUUUUGCAGCAUACGCCCGUUCAGUUCACAGAUUAGAUAGUAUUUCUUCGUUGAUGUCUGUGAUGCUGCUUGUAUAGCACAGCUCGUUUGUGGAAAUUCACAUCAAAUAUUUGCCUGAGUUCACAUCCUAGCACAGAUGUUGUUUUAUUCCAUUUUUAAUUUUUAUAUAAUAAAUUUAUUUUAAUUUAAUUUUGAUGUUUUACUCAUUAUAUAAAUGUUCUUCAAAAUCUAAUAUUUCUUUCUGUUAAAUUUUCUUCUGAUAAUUUACUUUAAUACGCAUGCCAAACAACAUCUGCGCAUACAUAUAUUAGUCGUUCCUUUAUAAGGUGGAACUUGGUUCCUGCUUAGAGUGGUGUAGUUUGUUGAGUUCGAUUUUCAUGAGGGGAGGGUACCUUUUUGACGUGGUGUAAUUGAACUUUCGAAUUUGCGCAUUUUCGAUGUUCCCUUUUAAUAGUUUACAUUUUUGCACAGCUAACAUUUGCGCCUUCUCUAUUCAUUAACAUUCUCUGGUUAAAUACGAAUAAAUACAUAUAAAACAAUGCUUUUUAUCGCAUAUUUUUAGGCGUUCGCUAUCAAAUGACUGCUGCCACGGAUAUCAAUUAAUGUUAAGAAGCAUCCGGUUAUGAAAGGAAACCAUUUUGCUAUUUUAUUCUGUAGUAUUGCAAAUCGGACGUCAGAUGGCGCUAACAAACGUUUUUUUUUUGUGAAUUUGUAACUCGCCGCCACCCACACCAACCCAGGCCAAAGUAAUAAUAAACCCAGUUACAAUGAAAACAAUGCCGACUUUAGCAGAUCAGCCAUUUGCACGGCAAUUUUAUUGCAUUAACAUAUGAAAUACUGUAAAAAUGACAUUUAACGGGGCAUGCGCAGUAAAUGACAACAAUGCAGGCAAGCAUAAAUAUGCAUACUGACAGCAUCAUCAGUUAAUUCCGCCAUUUCUCUGUGCAUAGAUGUUAAGUGAAAAGCAAUUAAUUAUUUCGCAGAGAUUAACUGAGUUUUCAAUCAUUAUAAGUUAUUUGUGUAUAUUGUGCAAGGAGUGUACUGUAUAUGUUAGUUCAAUUAAGCGAUAACAUCGUGCGUGCGGUCGUAUGUGUUUUGUGUAGCUUUUGUCUGCUUUUGCCUCUGCGUCUGCGUCCACAUAGUAGUCGGCAAGUCGUUGGGUGGGUAGACUAGACAAACUGCCUGGCACUUUGGUGGACUUCGCUUUGCUUUUCUGCACUCAGCGCUGCUCAGUCAAAAAUCUUAAGUCAAUGAAGUCUGGAGUAAACUUCAAGUUCGCGCUGUUACCGCGACUAAAGUUGUCUGGAAGAGAUGUGAGUUUUACAGUGUAGAAAUAGUUAAUAAAUUUUUAUAUUCAUACAUAUAAUUACAUAAAGAUUAAUAUAAAUAAGAAAUAUAAGUUUUGUACGUAUGUUCAGUUUAUGCAAACUUAACGUUUCGAUGUGUAUUGAAAUCUAAGCUAACUCGUUAAACAAAUAAUAUUUAGACGUUUCAUGCAGUCAUCCAUUAGCCACAGCACGUAGCUGCCCACCCUCACCUACCAGUUAUGUGCUCUACAGCUUUUGUUAGUGUACAUUUGUUAUAUGUAUAUACUACAUUAAAAUUUCAUUUACUUUUAUUUACAAAUUUUUACAGUUAAUUAUGUUUAAUAAUUUGUUUUCUGUUGUGUUGCUGUUUGCUGUGAAAAGAGUUUCUAGAGUUUCAGCGUAAUGUGCUCUUGUGAUAAAGAGAAAGAAAAUCAUUAUUGAUUAUGAAAUCACAAAGAAAAGGUGUCAUAGCGUUUUUGUAAUACAAUAACAACCAACACGUUGUCGGGGGUAACAGGCAUACCUGUUGUUGUAGUUGUUGUCGCUUCCGUUAGCGUUGUCAAUCACGUCGUUUUGGCUGGCGCUGCAUAGUAAUUACAGGACUCGCAAAAAAUUUCAUUAAUUUAUAUAAUUUUUUAAGCAAAAUUACCCAGCUCUAAAUGCUUUGAAAGCCGCCACUGUUAACUUUGUCUUCUGUAAUGUUAUUGCUGUUCUACUUCAUAGCCUAACAGGCAAAGCAUUUGGUCAAAAUCAAUAAAAUAACAAUAGCAGUGCAAAUGUUCAUAAAAAACUACUGAUGAAAACAAAUUUAAACAAAAAAAUACACAGUGAAGUAUGCAGAAACAAUGUUAUAGUAAUUUAUGUAUGCCGAUAUUGUAAAAAUGCCUAUUAUACCUUACAUCCACUGCCGUGCUACAGAUUAUUCACUAAUCACACCUUAACCCUAAAUAGCGUAGUAGUUACUUACUCGUCGCUAUCGCCGUGCCAGUCCAGGAUGUUGUGAAAUUAAAUCAAUGCCAAAAGUAAUGAAAAUUUUUUCGUGAUAAAAAAAUAAAUUAAUGUAUGAACAUAGUAUACAUUAAUUAUUAAUUCUUGGUUCUUUAUAAAAAAAAAAAUUAAUUUCUCUCUCUUCUAAAAAUUUAACGUUUCUGGAAGAUAUAAAAUUUAUUGUUACUUCUUAUAUAAUGAUAAUGUGAAAUUAAUUUGCAUUCUAUAUACAUAUGCAUGUAUAUGGUAUACAUACUCCUCUUCGUUGUAAGUCAUAAACCGGUAUUAAAAAAAUAUUUUUAAUAAUAAAAUUUUUGUUUUAAAAAUUAUAUUCAGUAUUAUAAUCGGUUGAAAUUUUCAAAAUAUGAUGUUGUACCUUAUUCUACAACCGGUGUUCAGUUCUACGGUUUAACUCUGACUUGUUUGGGUACCUA